rnacentral:rRNA from 1 species
GUGCUAAGGUAGCAGAAUAGUUUGUUCUUUAAUUGGGAGUUGGUAUGAAGGGUUACACAAAAAAUAUCUUUUAAGUUAAAUUAAGUAAUUUAAAUUUCAAGUUAAAAUGCUUGAAUAUAAUAAAGGGACGAUAAGACCCUAAAAGCUUAAAUUAUUUAUAAAUUUAUUAAAUUUUAUUGUAAAUAAUAGUUUGGUAGUAAUAUUAGCUGGGGAAGCGGUUUUGAUGGAAUCAAAAUUUAAUAAAACUUAAAUAAAGGGUAGUGGUCUUUUUAUAAAGAUAAAUAGGUGAAGUUACUUUAGGGAUAACAGCGCAAUGGUCUUGGAGAGUUCUUAUUUAUGGGAUUAUGUGCGACCUCGAUGUUGAAUUAAAAUGUCUUUAAGGAGCAGAAUACUUACAAGAGGGUUUGUUCAACCUUUAAAUUUUUACAUGAUCUGAGUUCAAACCGGA